CUGGGAGAGAGAAGUAGAGAGAGGCACCCUGUUUAGCUACUACCGUGAGGCAUGGGUUACCAAGUGCUGAAGCGGGCCGAGGCGAAACAAAACGCAAUUACGGAUUUUUUAUCAGGAUAAAUCCAGAGCAGAUUAAGUGUGCUUCCAAGGUCCAUGUGAGCAGAAGGACUGGCAAGAAUGAGUCCCUCAAUCCACAUGUGGCAUCAUUCAUCAGGGACUUCAUUGAGUAUGACUGGCAGAACAUCUGAUACCAGGGAAGAAGACUCCAGUCCAGGAAGAAGUGUCCAGUUCAGAAAGAAGAAUACAGUUCAGGAAGCAGAAUCCAGUUCAGGAACAAUAAAAUUUCAAAACAGAAGAAUUCCAGCAACAACCACCACAUCCUCACACGGCACUGUAGAGAGCAUCAUGACUGGCUGCAUCACUGCCUGGAAUGGCAACAGCACCGCCCUCAACCGCAAAGCCCUGCAAAGGGUGGUGCAAAUUGCCAGACACAUCAUCGGAGGUGAGCUUCCCUCCCUCCAGGACAUACAGGUGCAUCUCAAUAAAUUAGAAUGUCGUGGAAAAGUUCAUUUAUUUCAGUAACUCAACUCAAAUUGUGAAACUCGUGUAUUAAAUAAAUUCAAUGCACACAGACUGAAGUAGUUUAAGUCUUUGGUUCUUUUAAUUGUGAUGAUUUUGGCUCACAUUUAACAAAAACCCACCAAUUCACUAUCUCAAAAAAUUAGAAUACAUCAUAAGACCAAUUAAAAAAAACAUUUUUAGUGAAUUGUUGGCCUUCUGGAAAGUAUGUUCAUUUACUGUAUAUGUACUCAAUACUUGGUAGGGGCUCCUUUUGCUUUAAUUACUGCCUCAAUUCGGCGUGGCAUGGAGGUGAUCAGUUUGUGGCACUGCUGAGGUGGUAUGGAAGCCCAGGUUUCUUUGACAGUGGCCUUCAGCUCAUCUGCAUUUUUUGGUCUCUUGUUUCUCAUUUUCCUCUUGACAAUACCCCAUAGAUUCUCUAUGGGGUUCAGGUCUGGUGAGUUUGCUGGCCAGUCAAGCACACCAACACCAUGGUCAUUUAACCAACUUUUGGUGCUUUUGGCAGUGUGGGCAGGUGCCAAAUCCUGCUGGAAAAUGAAAUCAGCAUCUUUAAAAAGCUGGUCAGCAGAAGGAAGCAUGAAGUGCUCCAAAAUGUCUUGGUAAACGGGUGACUUUGGUUUUCAAAAAACACAAUGGACCAACACCAGCAGAUGACAUUGCACCCCAAAUCAUCACAGACUGUGGAAACUUAACACUGGACUUCAAGCAACUUGGGCUAUGAGCUUCUCCACCCUUCCUCCAGACUCUAGGACCUUGGUUUCCAAAUGAAAUACAAAACUUGCUCUGAUCUGAAAAGAGGACUUUGGAACACUGGGCAACAGUCCAGUUCUUCUUCUCCUUAGCCCAGGUAAGACGCCUCUGACGUUGUCUGUGGUUCAGGAGUGGCUUAACAAGAGGAAUAUGACAACUGUAGCCAAAUUCCUUGACACGUCUGUGUGUGGUGGCUCUUGAUGCCUUGACCUCAGCCUCAGUCCAUUCCUUGUGAAGUUCACCCAAAUUCUUGAAUCGAUUUUGCUUGACAAUCCUCAUAAGGCUGCGGUUCUCUCAGUUGGUUGUGCAUCUUUUUCUUCCACACUUUUUCCUUCCACUCAACUUUCUGUUAACAUGCUUGGAUACAGCACUCUGUGAACAGCCAGCUUCUUUGGCAAUGAAUGUUUGUGGCUUACCCUCCUUGUGAAGGCUGUCAAUGAUUGUCUUCUGGACAGCUGUCAGAUCAGCAGUCUUCCCCAUGAUUGUGUAGCCUAGUGAACCAAACUGAGAGACCAUUUUGAAGGCUCAGGAAACCUUUGCAGGUGUUUUGAGUUGAUUAGCUGAUUGGCAUGUCACCAUAUUCUAAUUUUUUGAGAUAGUGAAUUGGUGGGUUUUUGUUAAAUGUGAGCCAAAAUCAUCACAAUUAAAAGAACCAAAGACUUAAACUACUUCAGUCUGUGUGCAUUUAAUUUAUUUAAUACACGAGUUUCACAAUUUGAGUUGAAUUACUGAAAUAAAUGAACUUUUCCACGACAUUCUAAUUUAUUGAGAUGCACCUGUAUAUACCAGGCGGUGUGUGAAAAAAGCUCGGAGGAUCAUCAAAGACUCCAGCCACCCGAGCCAUGGGCUGCUCUCACUGCUACCAUCAGGCAGGCGGUAUCGCAGCAUCAGGACCCGCACUAGCCGAC